rnacentral:rRNA from 1 species
UGGCGGCAAGCCUUACACAUGCAAGUCGAGCGGUAGCAGAUCUAGCUUGCUAGAUGCUGACGAGCGGCGGACGGGUGAGUAACGCGUAGGAACCUGCCCAGUAGUGGGGGAUAGCCCGGGGAAACUCGGAUUAAUACCGCAUACGCUCUACGGAGGAAAGAGGGGGCUUCGGCUCUCGCUAUUGGAUGGGCCUGCGUGAGAUUAGCUAGUUGGUGAGGUAAUGGCUCACCAGGGCGACGAUCUCUAGCUGGUCUGAGAGGAUGAUCAGCCACACUGGGACUGAGACACGGCCCAGACUCCUACGGGAGGCGGCAGUGGGGAAUAUUGCACAAUGGGCGCAAGCCUGAUGCAGCCAUGCCGCGUGUGUGAAGAAGGCUUUCGGGUUGUAAAGCACUUUCAGUGGGGAGGAAGGCCUCGUAGUUAAUAGCUGCGAGGAUUGACGUUACCCACAGAAGAAGCACCGGCUAACUCCGUG